GAGUUACAGACAGGUGUGAGCUG
rnacentral:piRNA from 1 species